rnacentral:rRNA from 1 species
UACGGGGGGUCCAAGCGUUGUUCGGAAUUACUGGGCGUAAAGCGAGUGUAGGUGGUUGUCGUAGUCAGGUGUGAAAGCCUUGAGCUCAACUCAAGAAAUGCACUUGAUACUGGGCAGCUAGAGGACCGGAGAGGAUAGUGGAAUUCCCAGUGUAGUGGUGAAAUACGUAGAGAUUGGGAAGAACACCAGUGGCGAAGGCGGCUAUCUGGACGGUUUCUGACACUAAGACUCGAAAGCGUGGGGAGCAAACAGG